rnacentral:piRNA from 1 species
UCAUAGUACGUGCACCGCUUCAGGUCGUUGU